GACCUUAAUGGGGCUUAUGACACAGGAAGAAACAGAAUUUCGUCUCUGCCUCCGCUUCCUGAUACACACACCCCAAAACCCUUGGAAUCUCUGAAGGACAUGUCUUUUGUAUGGCACACACGUAAUUACUCUGUAUACAGAAUGAAUAAAAGGGUGAAUGAAGGAAGAGCGGAUAUGUCUAUGGCCUGAGAGUUUCUGUUGCACAAUUUAGGAUCUUAGAAGGCUGGCGGUAAUAGUCUCUUCCUCUAGGACGGAG